rnacentral:rRNA from 1 species
GCAAGUCGAGGGGCAGCAUUUUAGUUUGCUUGCAAACUAAAGAUGGCGACCGGCGCACGGGUGAGUAACACGUAUCCAACCUGCCGAUAACUCGGGGAUAGCCUUUCGAAAGAAAGAUUAAUAUCCGAUAGUAUAUUAAAACCGCAUGGUUUUACUAUUAAAGAAUUUCGGUUAUCGAUGGGGAUGCGUUCCAUUAGUUUGUUGGCGGGGUAACGGCCCACCAAGACUACGAUGGAUAGGGGUUCUGAGAGGAAGGUCCCCCACAUUGGAACUGAGACACGGUCCAAACUCCUACGGGAGGCAGCAGUGAGGAAUAUUGGUCAAUGGACGAGAGUCUGAACCAGCCAAGUAGCGUGAAGGAUGACUGCCCUAUGGGUUGUAAACUUCUUUUAUAUGGGAAUAAAGUAUUCCACGUGUGGGAUUUUGUAUGUACCAUAUGAAUAAGGAUCGGCUAACUCCGUGCCAGCAGCCGCGGUAAUACGGAGGAUCCGAGCGUUAUCCGGAUUUAUUGGGUUUAAAGGGAGCGUAGGUGGAUUGUUAAGUCAGUUGUGAAAGUUUGCGGCUCAACCGUAAAAUUGCAGUUGAAACUGGCAGUCUUGAGUACAGUAGAGGUGGGCGGAAUUCGUGGUGUAGCGGUGAAAUGCUUAGAUAUCACGAAGAACUCCGAUUGCGAAGGCAGC